UAAAGGCUAUUCACGCUGCUGUACAUGUGUUAUAGUUUUGUCAUGCGUUGGAAAGCGCAGUAAUAUGGGAAAGAACAAGAAGAACAAAACUAACGAGUCAGGAAAACAAGCGGACAAGACUGGACAACACCAAAGUGUUAAGAAGCUCAAACGAGAUGGUAAACCCAAGAAAGCCAAACAAGAGGACCACCUCGAACACAUCCCCUUCAGGCUCCGGGAGAUAAUGAAGAGCAAGGACAGAAUGAAAAUGAGAUCUUUGAAGUCCAAAAAGCUUAAAGAGGCUAUAUCCCCGAAAGGUAAGCCAGAGGAUUCCCUGGAUGGAGACAUACCAGUUCCACAUUUCCGGAAGAGAAAGGACGAAAGUGUGAAAGCAUACAUGCGGCGCAUGGAGAAGGAGACAAAACAUGUCCUUUUCCUCACCAAUAACCAAGUAGACAGAAAGCCAGAACUGGAUGCAGACAAACAGGAGAGGCCUGCAGGCAAGGGCAAGUCCGAGAAAAAGAAGGAGUAUGAUAAAGUGAGAUUACAGAGGCUACAGCAGAAAAAGCUGAGCAAACAAGAGGCUGUGAUGGAAAAAGAGAUGUUUGUAGAUCAUGUUCCCUUUGGGGAAGUUACAAUGGCCCCACCGUUGUUGAACAAACCCAAGAAAGCUCAGGUCAAAUCUCAGAAGGGUUCAAAGGAGCUGCUUCUCAACUCACUCCUGGGCCACUCAGUGGCCUCCACAACCAAGCCCUCCAUGGCCAGACAGAGAAUCAUGGAGGAGGAGAGGGAGCGAGCAGUGGAGGCCUACCGUCAUCUGAAGAAACAGAAACAGCAGCAUCAAGAGGCCAGGACUGCCAGUCUGGAAAAGCUCAAGAACUUUCAGUGAGGCCUUAUGUCACUCACUUCAAGGAACUGUAAUCCUUUGACAACAAUCAGUGUGAAUAACUGCAGUGAGUGGUGAUGUUCAGAAACUGAGUCAGAUCAUAAGAUAACCAUCAGCAGACUGCAUGUAUGUUACGUAACUCUGGAUCUGAUGCGCCAUUGGAGGAACUUACCACAAUGUACCUAACUGUCAGGGACAGAAGCAAACAUUUGCAUCCACAGUCCACAGUAUGAGAUCAGAUUUAGAACAAGUUCUACAUCAAAACAGCUCUGAAAAACAUAAAAGGACAUGUUUAAAACAUCUGCCACAGUUUACAGAGGACACAUGAACAACAGACUCUGUGGCAACAGACAUGUACCCAGUAUUGGCCUAUUAAGUGAAUAAGUAUUUGCUGCAUCUGUUAGGAUCACCAUGCUGUGGUGUAUCCUACCUAUUGUGUGUUGUGACAGACAGCAUGUUCCUUAUUUAUAUAUAUUGUUUCCCAACCUGUCAACCAAACAUUUUCCUCUUCCUAAUUAGUUUCUUUUUUUCAUCAGGGUCAGGAUGUACUAGUGACAGUUGUGUUGAAAAUAUCACAAGUACUACUGAUAAUGUAACAAUCAAAAACU